rnacentral:lncRNA from 1 species
CAUCUUAAUUGUGUUGUGUAAUAUAUCCUUUAAAGUUAUAUAAAUAACUUCAUAUUUUCAUUUUUCUUCCAGAAUCUGCUUUCCUCAGAGUAUCGAUUGAACAGGACUCUAAAUGAAAAGGAGAAAGCCUUUAAUUUUUUUCAUGAACUGUGUGGUUUUGGGUUUUGACUUACAAAUCAUCUAUAUCAUGCUCUAAAAACAGAAUAUUAACUUCUUCAUAACCUUUUCAGGUUUCUCAGUAGUAUAGCACAAGCACGGUUUGGGCAAUUUGUUGUUAAAAUUCUCUGUGCGAGGAUCUUGAUUUGUACCUUGCAAAGGGAGAAGGAAACUACAUCUCCCGGUGGUUUUGGCUGCAACUGUGAACCCUGUGUUUUAACAGCUCAGACCUUCAAAGAUCAAGUAAGAUCUCCACAAAUCCUGGCUGCCUGUCAAGAACACACUUUGAAAUUACUGGAUUGCCAUAUAGAAGAAACCAGUAGAGAAUCCACUUUUACAGCUCAGCAUCCAGCCGUCCUCACAUUUGAAAGGUGUCAGCUGGCCGUUAUUGCUACAGUGGUGUUAUGGACUGAUGCAUCUCUAUAGACCUGGACAACAUUCAUCUUACAUCCUGACAGGAGAAGAUUCUCAUAGACUGGUGUGUGAUCACACACUUAACACUUCUGCUGAGAUCUUGAUGUUAAAGUGUGAAGAAAUACUUAUAAAGUGGAAAAUCACCUUUUCUAGUUGCUUAUGUCCUUCAUCUGCCGUAGAAGAACAGUCCAGCCUGAGCUGAACAUUUGACUCUGAAGUCAUCUAAAGGUCAGUUAAAGGUCAGGCUCCUCAGAUACUUGUGAUCUUGCGACUAUUCAGACUACUGAUUCCAAAGCUGGUCUUUGUGGUGCUAAAGAACUUGGGCUAGUGAGAGAUAUGUUUAAAAGUCUGGGUUCCCUCUUCUUGCAAGCAUUCAGUCCAGUGUAGAUGAACUGGAGCAAGGAGUGUAGAUAAAGCACGUAUAGGUGCAUAACCCACACAGCCAGUCUCUUGGAUUACUUAUUUAAGAACCUGUCUCAGAGAGAUAUUAUUUAUGAUAGGUAGCAAUGCACAGGCAACUUUAUUGAAAUGCAGAUUUUGAUUAUUUUUUCCCUUGAUUUUGCCUUUACCAAGAAUUUGUUCUCUUCUGAGUAUUUAUUUUUGACAUAGAUAAAAUCACCUAGUUGAUAUAAUUGUUACAAAUAUUGUGGUGGAUGAAUUUUUCAAGGAGUUUUGUCUUAUGUACAAUAUUUAACAGAUUUCAUUUUUCAUCAAGGCUUUUAGGGAAAAUCGAUAUUUUCAAGCAGGCAAAAUGAGCAGAAAUCAUGACACUUGCUUAAAAUAAGUAAAUAAAUAAAGACUACGAAAUCA